GAGAAUAUAGUUCAAUGGUAGAAUGCUUGCCUAGCAUGCAUGAGACCCUAGGUUCAAUCUCUAGCACCUCUCU
rnacentral:tRNA from 1 species